AUUGAACGCUGGCGGCAUGCCUUACACAUGCAAGUCGAACGGCAGCACGGGUGCUUGCACCUGGUGGCGAGUGGCGAACGGGUUAGUAAUACAUCGGAACAUGUCCUGUAGUGGGGGAUAGCCCGGCGAAAGCCGGAUUAAUACCGCAUACGAUCUACGGAUGAAAGCGGGGGACCUUCGGGCCUCGCGCUAUAGGGUUGGCCGAUGGCUGAUUAGCUAGUUGGUGGGGUAAAGGCCUACCAAGGCGACGAUCAGUAGCUGGUCUGAGAGGACGACCAGCCACACUGGGACUGAGACACGGCCCAGACUCCUACGGGAGGCAGCAGUGGGGAAUUUUGGACAAUGGGCGAAAGCCUGAUCCAGCAAUGCCGCGUGUGUGAAGAAGGCCUUCGGGUUGUAAAGCACUUUUGUCCGGAAAGAAAUCCUUGGCCCUAAUACGGUCGGGGGAUGACGGUACCGGAAGAAUAAGCACCGGCUAACUACGUG
rnacentral:rRNA from 1 species